GAUGAACGCUGGCGGCGUGCCUAAUACAUGCAAGUCGAGCGAACGGACGAGAAGCUUGCUUCUCUGAUGUUAGCGGCGGACGGGUGAGUAACACGUGGAUAACCUACCUAUAAGACUGGGAUAACUUCGGGAAACCGGAGCUAAUACCGGAUAAUAUUUUGAACCGCAUGGUUCAAAAGUGAAAGACGGUCUUGCUGUCACUUAUAGAUGGAUCCGCGCUGCAUUAGCUAGUUGGUAAGGUAACGGCUUACCAAGGCAACGAUGCAUAGCCGACCUGAGAGGGUGAUCGGCCACACUGGAACUGAGACACGGCCCAGACACCUACGGGAGGCAGCAGUAGGGAAUCUUCCGCAAUGGGCGAAAGCCUGACGGAGCAACGCCGCGUGAGUGAUGAAGGUCUUCGGAUCGUAAAACUCUGUUAUUAGGGAAGAACAUAUGUGUAAGUAACUGUGCACAUCUUGACGGUACCUAAUCAGAAAGCCACGGCUAACUACGUG
rnacentral:rRNA from 1 species